CACUCUAGAGAGACUGCCAGGGAUAACCUGGAGGAAGGUGGGGAUGACGUCAAAUCAUCAUGCCCCUUAUGCUUAGGGCUACACACGUGCUACAAUGGGUAGUACAGAGGGUUGCCAAGCCGUAAGGCGGAGCUAAUCCCUUAAAGCUACUCUCAGUUCGGAUUGUAGGCUGAAACUCGCCUACAUGAAGCUGGAGUUACUAGUAAUCGCAGAUCAGAAUGCUGCGGUGAAUGCGUUCCCGGGUCUUGUACACACCGCCCGUCACACCACGGGAGGUGGAGACGCCCGAAGCCGAGUAUCUAAACUUUUGGCAGAAGUCGUCGAAGGUGGAAUUAAUAACUGGGGUGAAGUCGUAACAAGGUAGCCGGAUCGGAAGGUGCGGCUGGAUCACCUCCUUUCUAAG
rnacentral:rRNA from 1 species